UUCGAUCCUGGCUCAGAUUGAACGCUGGCGGGAUGCUUACACAUGCAAGUCGAACGGCAGCACGGACUUCGGUCUGGUGGCGAGUGGCGAACGGGUGAGUAAUGUAUCGGAACGUGCCCGAAAAUGGCGGGGGAUAACUACGCGAAAGCGUAGCUAAUACCGCAUACGCCCUUCGGGGAAAGCGGGGGACCUUCGGGCCUCGCACUAUUAGAGCGGCCGAUAUCGGAUUAGCUAGUUGGUGGAGUAACGGCUCACCAAGGCGACGAUCCGUAGCUGGUUUGAGAGGACGACCAGCCACACUGGGACUGAGACACGGCCAGACUCCUAGGAGGCAACAGUGGGGAAUUUUGGACAAUGGGGGAAACCCUGAUCCAGCCAUCCCGCGUGUGCGAUGAAGGCCUUCCGGGUUGUAAAGCACUUUUGACGGAAAGAAACGGCACGGGAUAAUACCCCGUGCAACUGACUGAUACCUGCAGAAUAAGCACCGGCUAACUACGUACCAGCAGCCGCGGUAAUACGUAAGUGCAAGCGUUAAUCGGAAUUACUGGGCGUAAAGCGUGCGCAGGCAGUUCGGAAGAAGAUGUGAAAUCCCAGAGCUUAACUUUGGAACUGCAUUUUUAACUACCGAGCUAGAGUGUGUCAGAGGGAGGUGGAAUUCCGCGUGUAGCAGUGAAGUAAGCCAGAUAUGCGGAGGAACACCGAUGGCGAAGGCAGCCUCCUGGGAUAACACUGACGCUCAUGCACGAAAAGCGUGGGGAGCAAACAGGAUUAGAUACCCUGGUAGUCCACGCCCUAAACGAUGUCAACUAGCUGUUGGGGCCUUCGGGCCUUGGUAGCGCAACUAACGCGUGAAGUUGACCGCCUGGGGAGUACGGUCGCAAGAUUAAAACUCAAAGGAAUUGACGGGGACCCGCACAAGCGGUGGAUGAUGUGGAUUAAUUCGAUGCAACGCGAAAAACCUUACCUACCCUUGACAUGUCUGGAAUCCCGAAGAGAUUUGGGAGUGCUCGCAAGAGAACCGGAACACAGGUGCUGCAUGGCUGUCGUCAGCUCGUGUCGUGAGAUGUUGGGUUAAGUCCCGCAACGAGCGCAACCCUUGUCAUUAGUUGCUACGAAGGGCACUCUAAUGAGACUGCCGGUGACAAACCGGAGGAGAGGUGGGGAUGACGUCAAGUCCUCAUGGCCCUUAUGGGUAGGGCUUCGCGUCAUACAAUGGUCGGGACAGAGGGUCGCCAACCCGCGAGGGGGAGCCAAUCCCAGAAACCCGAUCGUAGUCCGGAUCGCAGUCUGCAACUCGACUGCGUGAAGUCAGAAUCGCUAGUAAUCGCGGAUCAGCAUGUCGCGGUGAAUACGUUCAGGUCUUGUACACACCGCCCGUCACACCAUGGGAGUGGGGUUUUACCAGAAGUAGUUAGCCUAACCGUAAGGAGGGCGAUUACCACGGUAGGAUUCAUGACUGGGGGUGAAGUCGUAACAAGGUAA
rnacentral:rRNA from 1 species